rnacentral:rRNA from 1 species
UACAGAGGUCUCAAGCGUUGUUCGGAUUCAUUGGGCGUAAAGGGUGCGUAGGUGGCGGGGUAAGUCUGGUGUGAAAUCUCGGGGCUCAACCCCGAAACUGCACUGGAUACUGCCUUGCUCGAGUACUGGAGAGGAGAUUGGAAUUUACGGUGUAGCAGUGAAAUGCGCAGAUAUCAGGAGGAACACCGGUGGCGAAGGCGGGUCUCUGGGCAACAACUGACGCUGAGGAGCGAAAGCGUGGGGAGCGAACAGG